AUGACAAGUAGUAGAGUAAGAGGGCUGGAAGAGGUUAUUAAGGUGAAAAAAUAUGAAAAGCUGUGGAGAAAGAGGGCUGGAAGAGUUAAUAAUGGUGAAAAGGGGCUAAAAAGGAUGACAAGCAGUAGAGUAAGAGGGCUGGAGGAGGUUAAAAAGGUGAAAAAAUAUGAAAAGCUGUGGAGAAAGAGGGCUGGAAGAGUUAAUAAUGGUGAAAAGGGGCUAAAAAGGAUGACAAGCAGUAGAGUAAGAGGGCUGGAGGAGGUUAAAAAGGUGAAAACAUGUGAAAAGUUGUAGAGUAAGAAGGGAUGGAAGAGGUUAAAAAGGUGAAAACGUGAAAAGCUGUAAAGAAAGAGGGCUGGAAGAGGUUAAAAUGGUGAAAACAUAUGAACAGCUGUAGAGUAAGAGGGCUUGAACAGGUUAAAAAGGUGAAAAAAUAUGAACAGUUGUAGAUCAAGUGGGCUGGAAGAGGUUAAAAAGGUGAAAAAAGGAUGAAAAUGUAUAAAAGUCAAAGGGCGAAAGAGCUCAAAUAGGUGAACAAAGGAUGAAAAGGUAAAAAGAUGUAGAGCAAGACUGCUGGAAGAGCUCAAAAUGGCCGCACAUACGCUGGAAAAGGAGCAACCAUGGAGCAAGCCAACAAGAUUUUCUAGAUUUCUAUGUAUAUAUUGCCUAUGUCAAGUGAAAGAUGUGGAAUCCAUAUCCAGCUGAAGAGAAUUCUUUCUCCAGAUUUUCCAGCUGCUCUACACUGUAGCAAUGAUGUCACACACUCUGGCUCCCGCACUAAACACGCAUUCUUCAGAUACACACGUGGAGAAGUACAGAGAGUAAGAUCAAAGUGUCCCCAUAAGAAAUGACUGGGAGAACCUCUCCCAAACUCCUACGAUUUCUGAAAAAACUGUAAUGGUAAUUGCCGAAAUUUGUGUAUGUUGAGUGACAGGAGACCUUGCUGAACACGUUGAUGUUAUUUUCAUUUCAGUCGAGUGAGAAAUGAGGGCACAUCAGCGAGAGACAAAUCAGGUACCGUCUGCUCUCGGCCAGAAAUCUGGGCUCAAAAUUAACAUUGCGGCUUAUGGACCAAGGUUUUGGGUUCGUGUCGCUCCCGGGCUUCUAAAUCCAAAACUGUAUGUCCCACAUCUGAAAUGAGGCAACCAGCUGACACCCAACAAGUUUUCCUACAUUUCUAUCCAUAUAUUGUGUAUGUCAGGUAAAAGGUGUGGGAUCAAAAUCAAGCUGAAGACAGUUUCGGCUCCCAUUCUUCGAAAGGCUCCCCACUCUGGCGAUGAUGUCACCCACUCUAACCGACGCAAUACACACCCAUUAUAAAAUCAGAAGACGGGCUCAAAAUCCUUAAAACUAAAACUGCGAUAUUUUCAAAACCGUACUAAAGUUUUAAAAACUGAAUACAUCGCCAAUAGUUCAAGGUCUUGAGACCGUUUUAAAGUUUGAAUGGUGUCUCUCGCUCAAUGUAUGAGGGAGAAGAUGAGGCUGAAAGUCGAUGAGUUUUGAAGAGGAUUUGAAGCUUUUCCCAUCUGCUGCAAUGUUAAUUUUUUUUGGAAAAAGCUGAAUUAUUGAAAAAGUUGAAAAGUUGAAAAGUUGAAAAGCAUAAGGUUGAAAGAGCUGAACGAGCUGAACAUUUGAAUGUUUGAAUGGUUUGAAUAGCUGAACGUAUGCUGAAGUUAUAGCAGAAUGAAAUUUGAAAAAAUCCCCAUAAGAGUGAAUGGGCAAAAUUUUGCAGAAAAAGCUGAAUAUUUCCAAAAGUAUAAAAGGUAGAAAUGAGAAAAAUAGACCCGAUCAUGUCCUAAACAAGCUGAACAUUUUGAUAUUUGAAUGGUUUGAAUCGGUCAAGAUUUGUAGGAGGAGAUAGGUGCCAAAAAACGUACGGAAUCUUGAAUAAUAAGAAGAACUUUAAUAAAUUCCAGAAGAACAAUAGUGUGAAUGCUGAUGACUCAGCAUUCACACUAAUAAAUUCCAGAAGAACAAUAGUGUGAAUGCUGAGUCAGCAUUCACACUAAUAAUAAUAAUAAUAAUAAUAAUAAAUUCCAGAAGAACAAUAGUGUGAAUGCUUGCAGCAUUCACACUAAUAAUAAAUUCCAGAAGAACAAUAGUGUGAAUGCUUGCAGCAUUCACACUAAUAAAAAUUGAAAGAAUGCACAACGUCUCUGCUUCUGUUGUAUUCUUUUAUUGUUGUUGAUGGCAAUGAAGCCUGUUUCAAUGCAAAUUUAUGGUGUCUG
rnacentral:lncRNA from 1 species